rnacentral:lncRNA from 1 species
UCAUCUCAAGUCAAAGGAUCAGUCACACAACUACAGUAUCGAGACAAUCACUGAUGAUUUUAUAAAAAUUCAAGAGAUCUCUCGUAUGGUCAUGCUCAGUACUUAUUGUUCUCUAACAACUAUCCAUACUCAUCGUCCUGUGUCUGUACACAAUAGACCAAAGACUCAUCUAUCUCAAAGAAAGUGAUUUGUGCACCAGUCUAGCC